rnacentral:rRNA from 1 species
CAAACGGGUGAGUAAUGCGUAAGAAUCUACCUUGAAGAGGGGGAUAACUCUUGGAAACAAGUGCUAAAACCCCAUAAGCCUUUGGGUGAAACAGUGUUCACUGCUUCAAGAGGAGCUUACGUCUGAUUAGCUAGUUGGUGAGGUAAUGGCUCACCAAGGCGACGAUCAGUAGCUGGUCUGAGAGGACGAUCAGCCACACUGGAACUGAGACACGGUCCAG